UCUCCGUUGGUGAACCAGCGGAGGGAUCAUUACAGAGUUGCAAAACCCCCAAACCAUUGUGAACGUUACCUAUCCCGUUGCUUCGGCGGGCGGCCCGGGCCCCGCGCCCGGCGCCCCCCGGCCCCCCGUGGGCGCCCGCCGGAGGUAAACCAAACCCUUGAAUUGCAUGGCCUCUCUGAGUCUUCUGUGCUGAAUAAGUCAAAACUUUCAACAACGGAUCUCUUGGUUCUG
rnacentral:misc_RNA from 1 species